GGAAGGAUCAUUAACAAAUUCAAUGAUGUAAUAUAAUUGAGAAAUGGUUGACGUAAUGUUGACAGCUAUACGCAGAUAUUGUAGUCGUUUAAAUAUAAAUGUAAUUAAUAUACAACUUUUAACAAUGGAUCUCUUGGCUCUCGCAACGAUGAAGAACGCAGUGAAUUGCGAUAACUAGUGUGAAUUGCAUUACUUUGUGAAUCAUCGAGUCUUUGAACGCAUAUUGCACUGUUUGGCCCUCCAAACAGUAUGCCUGUUUGAGUAUCAUGAACAACCUACAAACAUUUGUUUGUGACGUGGACAAUAAGCAAUAUUUGUGCUUUUGUCUUGAAUAUAGCAAUGAAAAUGGUUUUGUUUUGUGCACAAGUCCAUUCGCAACAAGUGCAGUAUGCCUUGCAACGAUUAGACUAGCAUGGAAUUACUACCAUACAACUUUUAUUGACGAAUGUACUAAUCAUACACCUAUAAAAUUGAUCUCAAAUCAGGCAAGAUUACCCGCUGAACUUAAGCAUAUCAGUAAGCGGAGGAAAAGAAACUAACUAGGAUUCCUUCAGUAACGGCGAGUGAAGCAGGAACAGCUCAAAUUUGUAAUCGGCGCAAGUCGAAUUGUAAUUAAUAGAACCGUAGUCUGACCGUUGCCUUGGUAAAAGUUUGCUGGAAGGCAACAUCAUAGAGGGUGACAAUCCCGUCUUUGGCCUUGGCACACGGUUUUAUGAUGCGGCUUCAACGAGUCGGGUUGUUUGGGAAUGCAGCCCAAAAUGGGUGGUAUACUCCAUCUAAAGCUAAAUAACGGCGAGAGACCGAUAGCGAACAAGUACCGUGAGGGAAAGAUGAAAAGAACUUUGAAAAGAGAGUUAAAAGUGCGUGAAAUUGUUAAAAGGGAAGCGAUUGGCACCAGUUUUGUUGUUGUUGAAGGCUACCGGCGAACGGAAGAUUGUGGAGGAUGGAGCGCAAGCCCAUUGCUGCAGUUGGAAGGGAGUCAAGUGGUCCGCUCUGCACCGACAAGUCAGCAUCAGUUUCAUCUGCUGGACAGCCAGCAAGGAAGGUAGCGAGGUGCGAAAGCAUCACGAACUUAUAGCCUUGCGUCGGCCGCAGUGGAAGAGACUGAGGAGUGCAACGUCAAACCGUCAAAGUAACAAUGCCAUACCUAGUGCCGAAUGCACUGCACGCAGAGCACCGGCUAGGCGAGGUUAUUUGUUGCUUUGGCGUAUGGCGUACAGGAUGCUGACGAAAUGGUUCUAACCGACCCGUCUUGAAACACGGACCAAGGAGUCUAACAUGAGUGCGAGUAAAUGAGUGGCAAACUCACUUGCGUAAUGAAAGUGAACAGAGGGAACUGUCGAGAGACAAUGCACCUUUGACCGAUCAGGAUAUUCUUUGAAAGAUUUGAGUAAGAGCAUUCAUGUUGGGACCCGAAAGAUGGUGAACUAUGCCUGGGUAGGAUGAAGCCAGAGGAAACUCUGGUGGAGGUCCGUCGCGGUUCUGACGUGCAAAUCGAUCGUCAAACCUGGGUAUAGGGGCGAAAGACUAAUCGAACCAUCUAGUAGCUGGUUCCCUC
rnacentral:misc_RNA from 1 species